rnacentral:misc_RNA from 1 species
AACAAGGCGUACCUGCGGACCUGCGGAAGGAUCAUUACCAGAGUGCCUUCAGGCUCUCCAACCCACUGUGAACAUACCUACGUUCCCCCGGCGGGCUCAGCGCGCGGCGGCUCCGGCCGCCCGCGUCCGCCGAGGGCAUCUCAAACCCGAAUUUAUUCGUGUCUUCUGAGGGGCGAAAGCCCGUAAAACAAAAUGAAUCAAAACUUUUAGCAAUGGAUCU